rnacentral:rRNA from 1 species
UACGGGGGGAGCAAGCGUUGUUCGGAUUUACUGGGCGUAAAGGGCGCGUAGGCGGUCGUGACAAGUCACUUGUGAAAUCUCCGGGCUUAACUCGGAACGGUCAAGUGAUACUGUCGGACUAGAGUACAGAAGGGGCAACUGGAAUUCUUGGUGUAGCGGUGAAAUGCGUAGAUAUCAAGAGGAACACCUGCGGCGAAGGCGGGUUGCUGGGCUGACACUGACGCUGAGGCGCGAAAGCUAGGGGAGCGAACGGG